rnacentral:ribozyme from 1 species
GAGUAGAAAGAAAGUGAAAAGAAAUAUAAAAAGUAAACAGGAAAACAUGGCUGUUUAGUUUUACUGUAAAGGUUUAUAUUAUAUUAUACUAUAUUAUAUUAUUAUUAUAUUAUUAUGUAAAAGAAAACGCGUAAUUUACUUGUAAAAAAAAAG